AUACUUACCUGGUAGGGAAGAGACCAUGAUCACAAGGUGGUUUUCCCGGGAGAGAUUUAUCCAUUUCACUUUGAAUGUGCUGACCUCUGUGAUUUCCCCAAAUGUGAGAAACUUGACUACAUAAUUUGUGGUAGUGGGAAAUUGUUUGCGCUCCCCA
rnacentral:snRNA from 1 species